rnacentral:tRNA from 1 species
UUGACCAGUUGGGUGAGGACCGACCCGGUGACGCUGGUGCCGGCGUUGGUCCUCGCCGCCAGUUCCCCGGCGAUCUUGGCGUCGUCGGGCGGU